rnacentral:rRNA from 1 species
UCUUUGGAUUGAUGGACUUGCCUUCAUUGGCUUGUCUUCAAUUUCUUGAGACUAUGUCUUACAAACUCUAUAUAAACCAGAAUGUCUUUUGUAGUGUCUUUAUAUGACCUAUAAACUUAUACAACUUUUAACAACGGAUCUCUUGGCUCUCGCAUCGAUGAAGAACGCAGCGAAAUGCGAUAAGUAAUGUGAAUUGCAGAUUUCAGUGAAUCAUCGAAUCUUUGAACGCACCUUGCACCCUUUGGUAUUCCGAAGGGUAUGCCUGUUUGAGUGUCAUUAAAUUCUCAAACCUUCAACUUUAUUGUUGAAGGCUUUGGAUGUGGGAGUCUUUGCUGGACGCUCUUGAGUGGUCAGCUCUCCUUAAAUGCAUUAGUGGUUACUGAUUCCACUACUUGGUGUUGAUAGUCUAUCUUACGCCCUGUAGUGAAGUCAACUUAUGUAUCUGCUUCUAACUGUCGCUCUUUUGUGACAAUUUAUUGACUAUUGACCUCAAAUC